CACAUAGGCUCGUUACUUCGGGCGGUAACGUGGCCACCAGCGUCUACCGGGGGAGGUCGAGUUUGGAAACUGGGACCACGCUGCCCUGGAGGCGAGGGUGAGGGGCCCUGUCCAGGGAACAGAGCCCCCUGGCUUCCAGGCAGGGCCCUGGGUGGCCGAGCUUCAGGGAGGGGAGGAUGCACAUUCUUCUGGUCCUGCCCCUGCUCACACACUAUUUGACAAUGACUGUCGAAGGGGAAAAGCUGUGCAGCGUUGCCGCUGAGGUGCCCAGGACUGACCGGCACUUUCAGGACGUGGCCCCCUCACCCACUGCCUUCAUCCAGGCUUCUUCGGCUUCAAUAGCUGCAAAGAAUGAAUUACGUAUAAACAAAGGCUGACAAGAGCUGCAGUGUCCAAGGGGAAAUUCAGAUUUUACCCAAUCAACGAGCAAACAUUUAAAAGCAGUCCUGACGCAGGACAGCAGCUCCCAGCGACGUCUUUAAGUUGCAUCUUCAGAAGCUGACUCAGUGCAGCUUGCCUUGCUCUUGGAAGCCUGCACAGAGUUCUCCAUGAGCUCUGCGCACCCCCAUCGCUCCUGAGCUUGGCAGGAACACGCAGGUGGGGCCCUGCCGAGGAUGCGCCAGGCUAGGGCUUCAUGAGUGCUGACCCCACAGGGAACUGUGUGCUCUCGGGAGAGACGCGGGAUUUAUAUCAGAGUGCAAAUAUAUGUAAGUAGUUAAACAAAUGGCGUCACACUCUGUCACCUGAACAAAGACCGGUGCUGAGACUGUGGAUGGGUACACACUGCCACACCGUUUGUGAAGUGAGUUUCUCACAGCAACCUGUCCACGUGAUGCUGUCACCACCUGAGUGUGAUGGAUGAGGAGACCAAGGCUGAGAGAGACAAGAAACUUGCCCAACAUCGCCCAGCAGAAUCAACAGAUGUAAUGAUUCAUGUGUCUCAGCGCGUGUUCAGAGAAAAGAAAAAAGCUGAAAGAGGCAGAAUCGAGCAGCGCUGGCACGACUUGAUCUCCUCUCUUCUUCCCUGUGAAACGACACGUGUCAUUUUUGUUUAAGCCACUCUUCCUCACGGCGCUGGUGACUUCCUGAUCUGAGCAGAAGGAAAAAGUGUCCUCUUUGGAGUGAUACUGAUUCUGAUUACGUCUUUGAGUGUCCUGGAUGAUACUGUAAUAAGCAGAGGAACGGAUCAGAAUGUAAACAAAUGAUUCAGCCCUGGAGACUGGCAGUUGGCCCAGUCCCCACGAUCACUGUGGGUGCAGAUCGUUUUCCACUGUCAGGGAGGGGAAAGCACUUUGUACCUUCAUACAAAAUAAAAAGCAGACAGUCAUGCUGCCUGGUUUCAGUCUCUAAAGAACACAAUCUUGAGCAUUGCCUGUAAGCCUGGACUCCCAGCAGGAACCCCCUCGUCCCGGGCUUUUGGGUGAAUGUCUGAGACUUUAACACGACGUCUGGGUAUGAGGAGCCGGUCUUUUUCCAUCAUGUAGAGAGAGAUGUCAACAUGGUGAUCUUGGGGAUUUUUGUCACGUUAGCUAUGUAUUAGAUCUUUCCUUGGGUGAGCUAGUCUUAUUGAAGGACUCCCUUGCCUUUUUGCAAAUAAAAAUCUUUUGUUUGUUUGUUUUGGAAUACUUUUUGCCUCUGAACCUUGCCUUGACAGAUCAAAUGAAUGAAUUUGAUUUCACAGUUUUGAAAAGCAUACAUGUUGCUUUUUGUAGAACCACGCGGAGCAUUUAAGGGGCCCAGAGCCCCAGUGUUUGUUUUGCCACCGUUCCAUCCCAGUGCCAGCACUCUCCUGCCCCAUAAACCUGGCAUCAAGGCCCUGUCUGCCCAGGCGCAAGGGACAGGAACAGCCUCACUGGAAGCAUAGGAUCACCAGGGUCUGCCUCAUUUGUGUACUCCAUGCAACUGACAGUGCUCAGCUUCAUCUCCUUAAAGGAGUGUCUAGCCCUGGGGUUGCAGGUGGGCAAGGUCCUGGAGGACUCUGGUGACCUUCAAACCAAGUCUCCAUC